ACGCUGGCGGCGUGCUUAACACAUGCAAGUNNNNNNCUGAGAACUUAAGCGCCAGUAAACGGCGGUGGUAACUAUAACCAUCCUAAGGUAGCGAAAUUCCUUGUCGGGUAAGUUCCGACCUGCACGAAUGGCG
rnacentral:ncRNA from 1 species